rnacentral:lncRNA from 1 species
CUCUGCCUCAGAGGUCUUCUUGAGCCACUACUGUAUCCAAGGAUGCCUAAUUGUAAUGCCAGCUUCUGGGGUGAACAUGGACCCACUGUCUUCCGUCAAGGUCUAGGAUGGACAUGGACCCACCAUCAUCUGGGAGGUCCUGGAGUGGACGUGGACCCACCAUCAUCAGGCAGCUUCCUGGAGUAUUCAGAAGCGGGUGGGUGUCGUCUGGAGGAUGUGACUGUGUAACAGCGCCAGAGCAUGUAUCCACUGAGCAGUCUUCUUCUCUUUCCUCUAGCCUCAUGAAAAAUUCUGGGAUCUUUACCUCAAAGGACUCCAGAGGCUACAUCAUCGUAUUGGAACUGGUCAGUGGCUGGACAUCUCUUCAGGACAAGUGCUUGGAGGAAGAACCUGGACAAGCUUCCCUCCCCAUGCUGUUGACUGGAUCUUGUAUCUACCGCUAAGCCACCAUCAUCACCACUGUGUGCCUCUUAGGAGCAUGUCUAGGAGGUGAUGCCAGCUGGGGGAAGAGCCUCUGUCACACAGCCGUCGGUGCCCGCUGCAGCCUGCGCCCGGGAUGUCACGGCCUCCGCUCAACACCUCUGCUGGACAGCUUCAGGUGGUGAUUCCAGCUCCCGGGUUGCUGUGGUCAACACUGGGUACUUGAGGAGAGGUUGUCUGUGAUGAGUUCGCUUUAUUAAUGACGAAUAUAACACAGAUGGCCUGUUUUCAAUACCACCUGCCACUCCGGUCACUCGGCAGUACAUACCAGGUGUCACACCGCUGCCCGGCAGGUGAUGUGACGACACUGAAUUGGUCCGGAACCCUGCCUGUGCUCCAUGCCAGCUACCAGUCCUAGGUUGGCACAUUCCAUUGGGGACAUCCAUGGGAGAGCUAUGGCCAUUAACAAGUCCUGAGACCUGAUCUGAUGCCAUCAGUGGCCCAGCUGCUCUACUGCCUCUCUUCCUGGAUCUCCUGCUUAUGACAACUGACAACAAAGAUAUUUGACUCCGGAAGAUGCUCCCCACAGCUCACCUGAGAGGACUAUCCAGUACCCCACCCCCACCCCCACUGUGCCCUGUGCCAUCCACCUCUGAGUCCCCAACUUUAAGUAGACCCUGCUUCUCACCCAUGUCCCAAUUCCCACCAGGAGCCUUGCAUUUCAGAUCUGAGCAGCCCUGGCUUAGAAUCCUGAAGUGGGGGUGGGUAGGCAGACCCCCGGGGACUGAGCAGGGAGGGGAAGGGGGUUCUGCUCUUGGCUUUCCAAGUUCUCGGUAUGUAUAGCCCUUUGAAUAAUAAACAUAUAUCAUAUAAUGUAAA